UAGAAGGUAGAUGAUUUUACAUUAUCAGAGGAUGAAAUGAAGAGAGGUAAGAAAGAGGGAGAAAUGUAAAGAAAAGAGAAUGAGAAAAAGAUAAGAAAUAAAAGGGAACAGACAAUAUGAGAAAAGGAUAUUGUAAAGCUGGAAAGUAAAAGGAAUAGUAUUCCUAGCAAGUAGACCAGAGACUGACUUCUGAGCCCCUUACUCGUUGAUGGAUUCUCCUAUUGUUUAUGUAUUUAGUUGUCCUCUCUAAUAUUACAUUGCUUCAGUUCACAUCAAUGCUGAACAUCUGCUGACCAAGUACUGUGCAUUUUGCCAGGCAUUAUGAGGUAGGUGGUGCUGAGGGGACUCAAGGCAGAUGGUCUGGGAAACUCCAAGAAUGCCACCAGGGCAAUAAGAGAGACACCCCCUUGAACAUUGUGAGAGUGAAGUCACUCAGCCUUUCCGACUCUUUUCAACCCUGUGGACUGUGUCCAUUGGAUUUUCCAGUGCCAUGACCAUCCUGGCUUGACAACACAGAGACAAGAAGACUCCCCUGCCCAAACUGGAGGAGGAACUGAUGAUGGAGAUUUGACAUCUACUCAAGAAUGAGGAAGAAAGUGGUCUUUCCCCUCUCCUCACUUUUCCUUUGAUUAUAAAACUGUAGCCUACUAAGUUCUCAGGGUGUGGUACUCUCUUACUUGCCUCUUGUAAGCUUCACAAGUGUCCUAUUCUAAUAAAUUAAUUCUUAUCCAUCACUUUGCCUCACACUGAAAUCUUUGUGAGCUGAGAUACAAAGGAUUGGAGCUUCUCAGAACCCCCAAAAUGCCACCUAGCAGUUUCAUUAUUAGUUGCUUUCAAGAAAUAAAAUUGUGAUAUUUUAGAGUCUGCUGCUACUGCUGCUGCUAAGUCGCUUCAGUCGUGUCCGACUCUGUGCAACCCCAGAGAUGCCAGCCCACCAGGCUCCCCUGUCCCUGGGAUUCUCCAGGCAAGAACACUGGAGUGGGUACUUUAGAGUCUACCUCUUACCUAACAUCUCAACAUAAUUUGACCCUGUAAAUUGUGGCUUUUGUAUAAAAU
rnacentral:lncRNA from 1 species